rnacentral:rRNA from 1 species
AUUGAACGCUGGCGGCAGGCCUAACACAUGCAAGUCGAACGAGUGGCGGACGGGUGAGUAAUGUCUGGGAAACUGCCUGAUGGAGGGGGAUAACUACUGGAAACGGUAGCUAAUACCGCAUACCAUCGGAUGUGCCCAGAUGGGAUUAGCUUGUAGGUGGGGUAAAGGCUCACCUAGGCGACGACCCCUAGCUGGUCUGAGAGGAUGACCAGCCAAACGGGAACUGAGACACGGUCCAUACUCCUACGGGAGGCAGCAGUAGGGAAUAGUCGACAAGGGGCGCAAGCCUGAUGCAGCCAUGCCGCGUGUGUGAAGAAGGCCUUCGGGUUGUAAAGCACUUUCAGCGGGGAGGCGUUACCCGCAGAAGAAGCAACGGCUAACUCCGUGCCAGCAGCCGCGGUAAUUC